rnacentral:ncRNA from 1 species
AAUCUUUCUUGGGGGUGCCAAUAAGAGUUGUAAUAUCUCCUUUUUGGCUGAGAGGAUACCCGUGACCUGAUCCAGAUAAUACUGGCGUAGGCAAAGAAACAAUCUUUGAA